rnacentral:tRNA from 1 species
AGCUUCGAGGUGUUUACACGUCAAAAUGCAAGUUUGAAAUAGGGCCCCAUCAGGCCCCGGGGCUU